CAAGGUUCUGGUAUUAUAGGUGAGUCACUGUGCCUGGCCCAAGAGACCUGGGUGUCACUCUCAGUUCUAGAUCUUAAUUUCUCCAUCCACAAGGUAAGAAUGGCCAAAGUAAAAAUUGUUGGAAAGUUGUUCUUCUUGUCCACUGUAUACAGCACAUGCCUGCACCCUGCUUGUCAGGCCAUUUCUAAUGUACUCACCUACCAGGAGAGAAACGCGUCAGUGGCUGCUGGUUUCUUUCUUUUUUCCAGAGCUUUGUUUACAAGUGGCUGGAACAACACUGAAAAAAAGGUAUACAACAUCCCUGGCAUUUCCCCCGACAUGAUGAAGCUAAUCAUCGAGUAUGCGUACACCCGGACCGUGCCUAUCACACCGGACAAUGUGGAGAAACUGCUUGCUGCUGCAGACCAAUUUAACAUCAUGGGUAUUGUCAGGGGUUGCUGCGAGUUCCUCAAGUCGGAGCUGUGCUUGGAUAAUUGUAUCGGCAUCUGUAAGUUCACCGACUACUACUACUGUCCUGAGCUGAGGCAGAAGGCCUACAUGUUCAUACUGCACAACUUCGAGGAGAUGGUGAAAGUCUCUGCGGAAUUUUUAGAGCUCUCAGUCACUGAACUUAAGGAUAUUAUCGAGAAAGAUGAGCUCAAUGUCAAACAAGAAGAUGCUGUAUUUGAGGCCAUUUUAAAGUGGAUUUCCCAUGACCCCCAAAAUAGAAAGCAGCACAUUUCAGUUUUGCUUCCUAAGGUCAGUGUUCACUCUUGAUUCCUUUAUCCCAGAGAGAUUGUCCUAAAAGCAAAAUUCAGACGUAUAACAGAUCCCAAGGCUGUAUCUACAUGUCCUUAGAUAGAAGGCAUCCACUAUUGUCUGGAAUUUUGCAACUGUCGUUUCCUUUGGCAUUACUAGUUCUUUUUACUUCAGUUAUAGUCUUUGACCAAAAUCCUUUCUGGUGGUGGGGGAAGGAGAGCGCCUUUUUUUUUUCCCCAACGCAGUCUUGCUUUGUCACCAGGCUGGAG